GCCGCUGCAGGGUUGCACAUGUUGAAUGAACCUGAACUCGGCUGCUGACAGUGGUUUUCUGUUAUUAUCUGGCUUUUCAGCCAAAAUAUAUCAAAAUAACCUCAAUUCUGAGUGACAGCUGAAGAUGAAAUGAAGAUCACUGUAAAUGAAUGAAAAGAGCCGUUUCACAAACUCAUUUGUCAAGCCACACAAAAGUUUAUUGAGCCCUGUGAAACCAAGCUUAGGAAAACAGUGGCGAGGAAACUCUCCUUUUCAUACACAGAGAAGGAUUACAGAAACAGCAAUCAGCGGGGUUCGUGAUGUGCAUCAGAGGUUGUACAAGCCAAAGUGAGCCUGCAACCAGGACAGCAUAAUGGAAGAAGAGUUGAGUGAGUUCCAGGGAAGCAGUGGAAGUUUCACUCCUGCGGGGGAAAGUUAACUGCGGUGUUAUGGAGGAUGACGAGCUCCUCUUGUUAAAGCCAAGACACCACGAGGUGGUUGCUGAAUGACACACAGACAUUUGUUUUCACCUCAGGCUGUGAAUUGUGUGUAUGUGUCACUGUGAGAGAAACUCCCUGUAAAGUGAUACCAACCAGGCUCGAUCUGUGCCGCUAUCCAGAAAAGAAAAGGCGGCAGAGAGGGAAAGAGACACAUAUGUUUUCUUUUCUUUUUAAUGACAGACAGACAUAAACACUGACUCAUCAUGAGUGACAAUAAUUGUUGAACUAACGUUCUGUGUAUACAAUGGAGUUCUGUAUGAGCAAUGUGAUUUGCUGAUGUAAAGAUGGAGAAAUGCAAUGUCACCACAGCUAUGAAGUCUAAACACGAAAAGCUGAAGGUGCUGUCAUGGUUUAGUCGAACAGAAAAUACAUUCUGAAGGAAACCCAAAUGCCACCCAGGUUAUGUUUUCUGUUAAAGAGGCAAUUUGUAAGAUAAGGCAAGAAUUACAAUUCUUAUUUUUAUUCAAAUGAACUAACAUUGUCAAAAGAAUGUGAGGAAAGAACAGUGUUGAUGUUACACAAAAGACGUAUGUAUUGUGUUGCAGUGAUGUCUACUGAACUAAGCUUGCUAACAAGCUUGCCUCAGCCUGUCUUGACCUGUCAUACCACUUUUCCACCUUAAGAGGCGAUAGUAUGGUACCCUGCUUUAGUUUCAGCUGGGUGUUCACUCAGUGGUAAGUUUGCCAAGUUCCACCAGCUCUCUUAGCUUUGAGUAUAAGAAAUGGACUAAAAAGCCUCACAAAAUGUCAAGAAAAUCAAAACUUUUCCUUUCCAAACUGAAAAAUAUAACAGUACAACUUCUGAAUUCAAGUUUCUCUCUAACCCACUGAAACACAGAAUGGUUUGUCUUUCAACAAUCAGCCCCUGUUUCGCAGAAAUAAAUAAAGAGUAAGAUGUGAAAAUAUUCUGGCUACAAAGAUGUAG